rnacentral:rRNA from 1 species
UACGAAGGGGGCUAGCGUUGCUCGGAAUCACUGGGCGUAAAGCGCACGUAGGCGGAUUGCUAAGUCAGGGGUGAAAUCCUGGAGCUCAACUCCAGAACUGCCUUUGAUACUGGCGACCUUGAGUCCGGGAGAGGUGAGUGGAACUGCGAGUGUAGAGGUGAAAUUCGUAGAUAUUCGCAAGAACACCAGUGGCGAAGGCGGCUCACUGGCCCGGUACUGACGCUGAGGAGCGAAAGCAUGGGGAGCGAACAGG